rnacentral:rRNA from 1 species
AUUGAACGCUAGCGGGAUGCUUUACACAUGCAAGUCGAACGGAGUGGCGGACGGGUGAGUAAUAUAUCGGAACGUGCCCAGUAGCGGGGGAUAACUACUCGACAGAGUGGCUAAUACCGCAUACUCUUGGAGCGGCCGAUAGCGGAUUAGCUAAUUGGUGGGGUAACGGCUCCCCAAGGCAACGAUCCGUAGCUGGUUUGAGAGGAGGACAAGCCACACUGGGAAUGAGACACGGCCCAGACUCCUACGGGAGGCAGCAGUGGGGAAUAUUGGACAAUGGGGGAAACCCUGAUCCAGCCAUCCCGCGUGUAUGAUGAAGGCCUUAGGGUUGUAAAGUACUUUUGGCAGAGAAGCGGUAUCUGCAGAAUAAGUACCGGCUAACUACGUGCCAGCAGCCGCGGUAAUAC